rnacentral:ncRNA from 1 species
GAGAGCCGUGUGCGGUGAAAGUCGCACGCACGGUUCAGAGGGGGCUUGUUGGAAAAGUGCUUAUAAAAAUAAGUGGUAGUGCCUACCUUGU